GACGCUUCGCCUUCUUUAUCCUCUCUCUCCUCUCUCUCGAACAUUCUCCCGUUCUCUGUCUCUUGGUCCGAAUGUCUCCAAUCCAACCUAUAAUCUCAGCUCUACGACCAAUUUUUGGUUGUAGAAGGCUGUAAAUGUGUUUGUCGAGCAACUCAUAUGCCAAUAAUCGUUCUCUACAUCAGUCUUUCACUUGUACUAUAAAAUCGCGAGGUUGAUUUCAAACCCUAAUUUCAGAAAACCUAUGAGAUAAGUUAUCUGGUCUAUCUAUUUUAUACUGACUUUUUCGACUAAUUAUUUCGAUUUUCUUGCCUAUUUUGUUGUUCAUGUUAGUUCAAGAUUAGAUUAGUGUUUUCCUAUGUACAUCAAAUAGGGUGAUUUGGUUCAAAAGCUGUUUAUUUAAACUCUAGACCUUUAUGCUAUAUUUUGGUGAUUUGGUUCAAUGUUCUGUGGAUCAUGUAUGUUUAAUUAUAGUUCUUUAUUAGAAACUGGGAAUAUAAACUCCUGUUUAUUGAGCAUGAAUUCUGUAGUUCAUGUAUCCUAUCCUAAGUUGGAAACUGAUACUAACUAAUUUAACAACUACUAAUUCUUGCAGCUUAAUGCAAUUUCAAAAAUAAUUGAUUCAGAAGAUGAAGGCUAAACAUCAGAAGGUAGUUAAAGAAAUGUAAAGACUGUUAAUGUAACAUGCAUACAUCAAGCUAUUUAUCUAUAAAAUAAUAGGAUAUGUGGUUCAAAAUGAGAGCCUGAUAUCCAGAGCUUCCCGAAAUCUGUUAAGAAGAGAAGAAGUACCAAAAGGAAUCCUUACUCUAGAUCCAUAGUUGGUGCAACCUUGGAGGUCAUUCAGAAGAAGAGAGCUGAAAAACAGAAGCCAGGGAUGCUGUUAGGGAGGGCGGGAGGCUGCACUCAGAUGUAGAGGAAAAGCUGAGAAAUUUGAAAAAAAAAAUUACAUAAACAUGAUAAAGAGAGAUAGAGAAGGAUUAAAUAAGUGGUAACAACCAUUUUUGAAGUAAGGUGGUUCGAAGUGGAUAGAUGGUGAAUUUGGGACUGCAGAUUGCUAUCAUGGGAGCUUUAUAUAGAUGCUGAACAGUGACUUUUCGAAUUUGAACUGUCUUGGAAAUAUGAAAGGCUGAUCAAAACGUUUCAUAGUCCAAGAUUACAUUCAUUAUGCUUAUGUUCUCGAUGUAUUUAUUAUUCUGAAUAUUGGGUGAUGUUCCAAGAUAAAUUACCUAGAAUACUGAUAUGCAAUGUGAACAACAAUAAAUGCGCACUGAUUCAUUUAGGCUAUUAAAAUGGCACCGUUUUCAUUGAGCGGGAAAAAAUGAUUGGCAAAACUUCUUGCUUUA